rnacentral:rRNA from 1 species
GAUGAACGCUGGCGGCGUGCUUAACACAUGCAAGUCGAACGGAAAGGCCCAAGCUUGCUUGGGUACUCGAGUGGCGAACGGGUGAGUAACACGUGGGUGAUCUGCCCUGCACUUCGGGAUAAGCCUGGGAAACUGGGUCUAAUACCGGAUAGGACGAUGGUUUGGAUGCCAUUGUGGAAAGUUUUUUCGGUGUGGGAUGAGCUCGCGGCCUAUCAGCUUGUUGGUGGGGUAAUGGCCUACCAAGGCGUCGACGGGUAGCCGGCCUGAGAGGGUGUACGGCCACAUUGGGACUGAGAUGCGGCCCAGACUCCUACGGGAGGCAGCAGUGGGGAAUAUUGCACAAUGGGCGCAGGCCUGAUGCAGCGACGCCGCGUGGGGGAUGACGGCCUUCGGGUUGUAAACUCCUUUCGCUAGGGACGAAGCGUUUUUGUGACGGUACCUGGAGAAGAAGCACCGGCUAACUACGUG